UACAGAGGUCUCAAGCGUUGUUCGGAUUCAUUGGGCGUAAAGGGUGCGUAGGCGGCGCGGUAAGUCGGGUGUGAAAUCUCGGAGCUUAACUCCGAAACUGCAUUCGAUACUGCCGUGCUUGAGGACUGGAGAGGAGACGUGGAAUUUACGGUGUAGCGGUGAAAUGCGUAGAUAUCGUAAGGAAGACCAGGUGGCGAAGGCGGGUCUCGUGGAACAGUUCCUGACGCUGAGG
rnacentral:rRNA from 1 species